rnacentral:tRNA from 1 species
CGCGGGGGGGUGCAGCCUGGUAGCUCGUCGGGCCCAUAACCCGAAGGUCGUCGGUUCAAUUCCGGCUCCGGCAACCA